CUCGAGUGGCGAACGGGUGAGUAACACGUGAGUAACCUGCCCUUGACUUUGGGAUAACUUCAGGAAACUGGGGCUAAUACCGGAUAGGAGCUCCUGCUGCAUGGUGGGGGUUGGAAAGUUUCGGCGGUUGGGGAUGGACUCGCGGCUUAUCAGCUUGUUGGUGGGGUAGUGGCUUACCAAGGCUUUGACGGGUAGCCGGCCUGAGAGGGUGGCCGGCCACAUUGGGACUGAGAUACGGCCCAG
rnacentral:rRNA from 1 species